GAUGAACGCUGGCGGCGUGCUUAACACAUGCAAGUCGAACGAAGCACUCUAUUUGAUUUUCUCGGAAAUGAAGAUUUUGUGACUGAGUGGCGGACGGGUGAGUAACGCGUGGGUAACCUGCCUCAUACAGGGGGAUAACAGUUAGAAAUGACUGCUAAUACCGCAUAAGACCACAGCACCGCAUGGUGCAGGGGUAAAAACUCCGGUGGUAUGAGAUGGACCCGCGUCUGAUUAGCUGGUUGGUGAGGUAACGGGCCCACCAAGGCGACGAUCAGUAGCCGACCUGAGAGGGUGAACGGCCACAUUGGGACUGAGACACGGGCCCAAAACUCCUACGGGAGGCAGCAGUGGGGAAUAUUGCACAAUGGGGGAAACCCUGAUGCAGCAACGCCGCGUGAGUGAAGAAGUAUUUCGGUAUGUAAAGCUCUAUCAGCAGGAAAGAAAAUGACGGUACCUGACUAAGAAGCCCCGGCUAACUACGUG
rnacentral:rRNA from 1 species